GACGAACCGUGCGAACGUUGUUCGGAAUCACUGGGCUUAAAGGGCGCGUAGGCGGGUGUGCAAGUCUGUGGUGAAAGCCUCCAGCUUAACUGGAGAAGUGCCAUGGAUACUGCACAUCUUGAGGAGGGUAGGGGCAUCUGGAACGGUCGGUGGAGCGGUGAAAUGCGUUGAUAUCGACCGGAACUCCGGUGGCGAAGGCGCUCUGCUGGACCAUAACUGACACUCAGGGACGAAAGCUAGGGGAGCGAAUGGG
rnacentral:rRNA from 1 species